rnacentral:rRNA from 1 species
UCGUGACUGCGUGCCUUUUGAAGAAUGAGCCUGCGAGUUUGCGGUGUGUUGCGAGGUUAACCCGUGUGGGGAAGCCGUAGCGAAAGCGAGUCCGAAUAGGGCGGUAGAGUAGCGCGCUCAAGACCCGAAGCGGAGUGAUCUAGCCAUGGGCAGGUUGAAGCGGAGGUAAGACUUCGUGGAGGACCGAACCCACCAGGGUUGAAAACCUGGGGGAUGACCUGUGGUUAGGGGUGAAAGGCCAAUCAAACUCCGUGAUAGCUGGUUCUCCCCGAAAUGCAUUUAGGUGCAGCGUCGUGUGUUUCUUGCCGGAGGUAGAGCACUGGAUAGGCGAUGGGCCCUACCGGGUUACUGACCUUAGCCAAACUCCGAAUGCCGGUAAGUGAGAGCGCGGCAGUGAGACUGUGGGGGAUAAGCUCCAUGGUCGAGAGGGAAACAGCCCAGAGCAUCGACUAAGGCCCCUAAGCGUACGCUAAGUGGGAAAGGAUGUGGAGUCGCAGAGACAACCAGGAGGUUGGCUUAGAAGCAGCCAUCCUUGAAAGAGUGCGUAAUAGCUCACUGGUCAAGUGAUUCCGCGCCGACAAUGUAGCGGGGCUCAAGCGUACCGCCGAAGUCGUGUCAUUGCAGCAUAUAGGCCUAACGGUUGUUGUGAUGGGUAGGGGAGCGUCGUGUGCCGGGUGAAGCAGCCGUGUGAGCGAGUUGUGGAUGGUUCACGAGUGAGAAUGCAGGCAUGAGUAGCGAUUCACACGUGGGAAACGUGUGCGCCGAUUGACUAAGGGUUCCUGGGUCAAGCUGAUCUGCCCAGGGUAAGUCGGGACCUAAGGCGAGGCCGACAGGCGUAGUCGAUGGACAACCGGUUGAUAUUCCGGUACCCGCUUUGAAGCGCCAGCGCUGAACCAGGCGAUGCUAAGUCCGUGAAGCCGCCCUGGAUCCUUCGGGUGAAGGGGAGUGGUGGAGCCGACGGUCCAGACCUGUAGUAGGUGAGUGAUGGGGUGACGCAGGAAGGUAGUCCAGCCCGGGCGGUGGUUGUCCCGGGGUAAGGGUGUAGCCCGAGGGGUAGGUAAAUCCGUCUCUCAAACAGGGUGAGACCUGAUGCCGAGCCGAUUGUGGUGAAGUGGAUGAUCCUAUGCUGUCGAGAAAAGCCUCUAGCGAGUUUCAUGGCGGCCCGUACCCUAAACCGACUCAGGUGGUCAGGUAGAGAAUACCGAGGCGUUCGGGUGAACUAUGGUUAAGGAACUCGGCAAAAUGCCCCCGUAACUUCGGGAGAAGGGGGGCCAUUGCUGGUGAUGGGCCUUUGCGCUCGGAGCUGGUGGUGGCCGCAGAGACCAGCGAGAAGCGACUGUUUACUAAAAACACAGGUCCGUGCGAAGCCGUAAGGCGAUGUAUACGGACUGACGCCUGCCCGGUGCUGGAACGUUAAGGGGACCGGUUAGUCAUAUUUCGGUGUGGCGAAGCUGAGAACUUAAGCGCCAGUAAACGGCGGUGGUAACUAUAACCAUCCUAAGGUAGCGAAAUUCCUUGUCGGGUAAGUUCCGACCUGCACGAAUGGCGUAACGACUUCUCGACUGUCUCAACCAUAGGCCCGGUGAAAUUGCAUUACGAGUAAAGAUGCUCGUUUCGCGCAGCAGGACGGAAAGACCCCGGGACCUUUACUAUAGCUUGAUAUUGGUGUUCGGUUCGGCUUGUGUAGGAUAGGUGGGAGACUGUGAAGCCGCAACGCCAGUUGUGGUGGAGUCGUUGUUGAAAUACCACUCUGGUCGUGCUGGAUGUCUAACCUGGGUCCGUGAUCCGGAUCAGGGACAGUGUCUGGUGGGUAGUUUAACUGGGGCGGUUGCCUCCUAAAGGGUAACGGAGGCGCCCAAAGGUUCCCUCAGCCUGGUUGGCAAUCAGGUGUUGAGUGUAAGUGCACAAGGGAGCUUGACUGUGAGACUGACGGGUCGAGCAGGGACGAAAGUCGGGACUAGUGAUCCGGCGGUGGCUUGUGGAAGCGCCGUCGCUCAACGGAUAAAAGGUACCCCGGGGAUAACAGGCUGAUCUUCCCCAAGAGUCCAUAUCGACGGGAUGGUUUGGCACCUCGAUGUCGGCUCGUCGCAUCCUGGGGCUGGAGUCGGUCCCAAGGGUUGGGCUGUUCGCCCAUUAAAGCGGUACGCGAGCUGGGUUUAGAACGUCGUGAGACAGUUCGGUCCCUAUCCGCUGUGCGCGUAGGAGUCUUGAGAAGGGCUGUCCCUAGUACGAGAGGACCGGGACGGACGAACCUCUGGUGUGCCAGUUGUUCUGCCAAGGGCAUGGCUGGUUGGCUACGUUCGGGAGGGAUAACCGCUGAAAGCAUCUAAGCGGGAAGCCUGCUUCGAGAUGAGGGCUCCCACCUCCUUGAGGGGUUAAGGCUCCCAGUAGACGACUGGGUUGAUAGGCCAGAUAUGGAAGCCGGGUGACCGGUGGAGUUGACUGGUACUAAUAGGCCGAGGGCUUGUCCUC